GAUGAACGCUGGCGGCGUGCCUAAUACAUGCAAGUCGAGCGAACGGACGAGAAGCUUGCUUCUCUGAUGUUAGCGGCGGACGGGUGAGUAACACGUGGAUAACCUACCUAUAAGACUGGGAUAACUUCGGGAAACCGUAGCUAAUACCGGAUAAUAUUUUGAACCGCAUGGUUCAAAAGUGAAAGACGGUCUUGCUGUCACUUAUAGAUGGAUCCGCGCUGCAUUAGCUAGUUGGUAAGGUAACGGCUUACCAAGGCAACGAUGCAUAGCCGACCUGAGAGGGUGAUCGGCCACACUGGAACUGAGACACGGUCCAGACUCCUACGGGAGGCAGCAGUAGGUAAUCUUCCGCAAAGGGCGAAAGCCUGACGGAGCAACGCCGCGUGAGUGAUGAAGGUCUUCGGAUCGUAAAACUCUGUUAUUAGGGAAGAACAUAUGUGUAAGUAACUGUGCACAUCUUGACGGUACCUAAUCAGAAAGCCACGGCUAACUACGUG
rnacentral:rRNA from 1 species